CUUCUAUUUCCUGCUGCACCCAGUAAUUUAUAUCUAUAUCUGCUACUCAACGAGACGUUACUAUUACCAUCUUAUGAGGGAUGGUCUGGCACCGCUUUGUGUUAUUUGUGUAUAGAAUCCCUAUAGUUUGUCAGCUUGUUUGCUGUUCCUGUAUGUUAAAAUGAAAUGUUUGUCUUGUUUACCUAUUGUACACGGCUGCAGAAUAUGUUGGUGGAAUGUAACUAAUUGUAACUGUAAG